UACAGAGGGUGCAAGCGUUGUUCGGAAUUAUUGGGCGUAAAGCGCGUGUAGGCGGCUUUGCAAGUCGGGUGUGAAAGCCCUCAGCUCAACUGAGGAAGUGCGCCCGAAACUGCUUAGCUUGAGUGUCGGAGAGGAUGGCGGAAUUCCCCAAGUAGAGGUGAAAUUCGUAGAUAUGGGGAGGAACACCGGUGGCGAAGGCGGCCAUCUGGACGAUUACUGACGCUGAGACGCGAAAGCGUGGGGAGCAAACAGG
rnacentral:rRNA from 1 species